UCUAUAUGUUACUCAUAAUUUCUAAGCUCAAUGAUCUGUGGUGGGAUAUUAAUUAACUCUCAAAAUUCUAAUAGCUGAGCAGAUCACUUGAUUUCAUUCACCUACACUACUUUAUGUUAAUUAAUGAAAACGAUAAAUUGUGAGCCCUUGCAAAUUGUACUGCUCCAUUGCAUUUAGAGCUCUUGUAACUCCCACCCUUAAUUAAAUAAUGAGGCUGCACAGCAUAAUUCUAGCUGAGAGUUAUACUAGAUGGUAGCUCUAGCAGAGACUCCUACUGACCAGUCAGAAUAAUCUAUGUGUGUCUUUUCUAAUAAGUAGGCCAAUUUAUGCCUCAGUUUUGUAGCCUGAUGUGAUGAGGGACAUAGCACAGUGCUGUACAGCCUUGUCUUGAUAGAACUGUCUACAUUAGACUUUCUGUUCUUCCUGUCCAUUCUACUCACAUUAUAGAGAGAGGUGAACUUCAUUAGUUGGCAGUUGGUGAGAGUCAUACAGCAAAGAGACUGCAUGGCCAGGCUGGAUGUCUUCUGCUUCUUUCAAAAGUGACUGCACUCCCCCUGCCUGCCACUGUGAAAUCAGCAGAAACGGAGCAUCUAUAGAGUACUUCCAGCACCCUUAGCAGUGAGCAGGGAGAUUCUUUUCAGAGGAGAUGCCCAUCUUCAAGCCCAUUAAGUUCUAAUCCUCAACUAUUUCCAGUGUGAGAGAGAUCUCUAUGGGGCUUAGAGACUAUACCUUUCUUCAUUAUUUCCAUGUGUCUGCGUCAGUGUCAUGGCAUGCAUGUGGAGGUCAGAGGGGAGCUUUGAGGACCUGGUUCUCUUCUACUCUGUGGAUCCCAGGGAUCAAACUCAGAUCCUCCGUCAAGAAUCUUUACUCAUUGAGAAAUCUCAACAGGUCAAGAUCUUACAUUUUGUACUGUAAAAAUAACAGAUAAAUAAUAAUUUGGGUGAGAGACUACUCCUGAAUAAUAAGUCAGACAUGGCUUGUGUUGUCAGUCUAUGUCCUGUUUCCUAAAUGCAUUUCCUGCCUGGUUUAUUACACUGCACUUUCCAGCUGCAGGACUUUUAUUUUUCUGGGAUUGUUCAGGAGAAAGUGAGAUGGGACAGAUGUCUUUCAGGUCAUGGGCUUACUGGCUUUAUUGCUAGAAUGGAAGCACCAAUGGCAGUCCACUGUUUAGUAGCUCUUUCUUCCAAGAGUUCCUAGUCAAUCCUUGGCUUUCACCUUCCCUAUGUCCCCAUAUUUAAGUGUCAAGGGAUGUUUUUCUUGUUUCCUUUCUCUGUAACUUGACACUCAGUAGCUAUUUCCAGAGAGAGAGAGAGAGAGAGAGAGAGAGUCUUUCACUAGCCUGAGAGUGGAGGAGGAAGAAUCUCGUUUAUUGAUCCUUUGCUUAGUGUUACUAAAGCUAUGUUGUCAUUGGUCUCAGGAUAGGGCAAAUGGGCAAAUAUCUUGUUCUUUCACUGUUUUUGUUUUGUUUUGUUUUUGUUUUUGUUUUUUUGCUAAGAGAUUUCAAAUGGUAUCCAGAUAACUGGCGAACUUUAAUUGCAUGUUUAUUGGGUAACCUGACAUUUCGACCUGUGUUUAUACCGUACAGUGUUUGCUGAGGUGAUAGAUUUGUUGGUUAUGUUUUCAUUUUAGGAAGUGAUAAAUCACUUAUUACAUGCCAGUUUUACUGCAGAAAACAAGCAAGAGUUCCUCCAGUGGCAAAGGAAUUAAAAUCAAAGUAACCCAGAAUAAUAGUAUGUACCAAGUAAUUGAACUUAGAAACAAACAUUUUUUUUUUUUUACUGACAAAAGGAAGACUUGAUCAGUUUUGAGCGCUGUUUAUAAUAUGUAGAGUACCUACAAUUUUUCUCCUUCUCUAGAAUUUUUCCUGUAUAUAUUUUCUUUCCAGAAAAAAAAAAACCAAAACAAGACAAAAACAACAACAAACAACCAUACCAAACCAAACC
rnacentral:lncRNA from 1 species